GAUGAAGAACGCAGCGAAAUGCGAUAAGUAAUGUGAAUUGCAGAAUUCAGUGAAUCAUCGAAUCUUUGAACGCACAUUGCACCCCCUGGUAUUCCGGGGGGCAUGCCUGUUCGAGCGUCAUUUCACCACUCAAGCCUCGCUUGGUAUUGGGCAACGCGGUCCGCCGCGUGCCUCAAAUCGACCGGCUGGGUCUUCUGUCCCCUAAGCGUUGUGGAAACUAUUCGCUAAAGGGUGUUCGGGAGGCUACGCCGUAAAACAACCCCAUUUCUAAGGUUGACCUCGGAUCAGGUAGGGAUACCCGCUGAACUUAAGCAUAUCAAUAAGCGGAGGA
rnacentral:misc_RNA from 1 species